rnacentral:rRNA from 1 species
UACGAAUGGGGCAAGCGUUGUUCGGAAUCACUGGGCUUAAAGCGUGCGCAGGCGGUCAUGAAAGUCAGAAGUGAAAUCCCAGGGCUUAACCCUGGAAUUGCUUUUGAAACUCCAUGACUAGAAUCCCGGAGAGGUUAGCAGAAUUCCGAGUGUAGAGGUGAAAUUCGCAGAUAUUCGGAGGAAUACCAAUGGCGAAGGCAGCUAACUGGACGGGCAUUGACGCUCAGGCACGAAAGCGUGGGUAGCAAACAGGG